rnacentral:rRNA from 1 species
AUGGGGAAACCCAGUGUGAUUCGUCACACUAUCAUUAACUGAAUCCAUAGGUUAAUGAGGCGAACCGGGGGAACUGAAACAUCUAAGUACCCCGAGGAAAAGAAAUCAACCGAGAUUCCCCCAGUAGCGGCGAGCGAACGGGGAGGAGCCCAGAGCCUGAAUCAGCAUGUGUGUUAGUGGAAGCGUCUGGAAAGGUGCGCGAUACAGGGUGACAGCCCCGUACACAAAAGCGCAUGUGCUGUGAGCUCGAUGAGUAGGGCGGGACACGUGGUAUCCUGUCUGAAUAUGGGGGGACCAUCCUCCAAGGCUAAAUACUCCUGACUGACCGAUAGUGAACCAGUACCGUGAGGGAAAGGCGAAAAGAACCCCGGCGAGGGGAGUGAAAAAGAACCUGAAACCGUGUACGUACAAGCAGUGGGAGCACAGGUUUACCUGUGUGACUGCGUACCUUUUGUAUAAUGGGUCAGCGACUUAUAUUCUGUAGCAAGGUUAACCGUAUAGGGGAGCCGGAGGGAAACCGAGUCUUAACCGGGCGUUAAGUUGCAGGGU